rnacentral:rRNA from 1 species
CAGAUCACGUAGAAUAUUAAUGGUCGAACAGACCAACCUUUAAAGACUUCUGCAUCUUUGGGAUAUUCUGGUCCAACAUCGAGGUCACAAACUUUUUUUUCGAUUAGAGCUCUAAAAAAAAAUAAUGCUGUUAUCCCUACGGUAACUAAUUCUUUUAAUCAGAGAGUUCUGGAUCGUAGCUGAGAGCCUAUUAAAAAAAGGAGGUUUUUAGUGCUCCUUGGUUGCCCCAACCAAUAUUUUUAGUAUUUUAAUUUCAGUUUAGUUACAAAGGUAUACUAAUUUUUUUCAAGCUCGAUAGGGUCUUCUUGUCUUUUAACAAAAUAUAGGCUUUUUCACCUAUAGAUAAAAUUCUAAGAAAUUUCAACUGAGACAGAUUUAUCCAUGUCAAACCAUUCAUUCCAGCCCUCAAUUAUAGGGCAAAUUAUUAUGCUACCUUUGCACAGUCAGGGUACUGCGGCCGUUUAAAGUUCACCGGGCAGGUACGAUUUCUUAUAAGUGAUGAACAAGAAACGAUGUUUUU